rnacentral:rRNA from 1 species
UACGAAGGGGGCUAGCGUUUUUCGGAAUUACUGGGCGUAAAGCGCACGUAGGCGGAUUGACAAGUCAGGGGUGAAAUCCCGGAGCUCAACUUCGGAACUGCCUUUGAUACUGCCUGUCUAGAGUCCGGAAGAGGUGGGUGGAAUUCCUAGUGUAGAGGUGAAAUUCGCAGAUAUUAGGAAGAACACCGGUGGCGAAGGCGGCCCACUGGUCCGGUACUGACGCUGAGGUGCGAAAGCGUGGGGAGCAGACAGG